ACUAGAUCAACAGUUUACCUAAUCAGCCAAAGGUCGGUUUCAAACAAUAUUCUAGUUAUGUCAAAGUUGGUGAAACAAGUCUAAGUAGAUCAAUCUUCUACUACUUUGUAGAGGCAGAUGUAGAUCCUGCUUCAAAACCAGUUGUACUCUGGUUAAACGAAGGACCUGACAUCUCAUCAGUUGGCCAAGGUGCCUUUUCAGAACACAAAGGGUCAACAACAAAGGGUCUUGUCAAAAACCCCUUCAGUUGGAGCGAAGUUUGGAAGCACACAUGAUCAACAACUUACAUAAUCAGCCAAAGGUCGGUUUAAAACAAUAUUCUGGUUAUGUCAAGAUUGGUGAAACAAGACUAAGUAGAUCAAUCUUCUACUACUUUGUAGAGGCAGAUGUAGAUCCUGCUUCAAAACUAGUUGUACUCUAGUUAAAUGGAGGACCUGGCUGCUCAUCAGUUGGCUAAGGUGUCUUUUCAGAACACGCUCCUAUCCGGCCAACAACAAAGGGUCUUGUUAAAAACCCCUUCAGUUGGAGCAAAGUAGCUAACAUGAUCUAUUUUUGUGACAUUGUGAGAGUGUACCUUUUUCGAUAUAAUCAAAUUUGUUAGUACGUGACCCCUUCAAUAUAUUUAUGUAUAUGUAUGUAUGUACAUACAUACGUAUGUAAGUAAAUAUGUGCGCGCACGCACGCACGCGCGCGUGUUGAAAAAUAUAUUUAAUAUAGACAUUAUUACCAAUUGUUAGAGAUCUUAAAAUAAAAGAAUAAUAUUGAAAUGAUACAAAUAUAAAUUAUUAUUUUUUCUUUUUAAAUUUUGAUUACCACUACUUAUCUUAAUUUAAGUUUGGAAGCAGACAGGAUCAACAACUUACCUAAAUAGCCAAAGGUCGGUUUCAAACAAUAUUCAGUUUAUGUUAAUGUUGGUGAAACAAGUCCAAGUAGAUCAAUCUUCUAAUACUUUCUAGAGGCAGAUGUACAUCCUGCUUCAAAACCAGUUGUACUUUGGUUAAAUGGAGGACCUGGCUGCUCAUCAGCUGGCCAAGAUGCCUUUUCAGAACAUGGUCAUUUCCGGCCAACAACAAAGGGUCUUGUUAAAAACCCCUUCAGCUGGAACAAAGGUUGAUGCAGAUGAUAUGAAGAUGAAAAAGAGGAGGAGAAGAUGAAGAAAACCUAAC